rnacentral:lncRNA from 1 species
AGCUUGACCGAGCUACGUCUACCUGAUCGAGCUUCUCAUAAGCAUCGCCCAGCUUCUGUACAUCUUAUCCUAGCUGACUUCUUUCUCUUAUAAGGUUUAGUCUCAGCAUCCUGACGUCCUUAACCUUCUAUAUUGGCCAUGGAACGCUAGCCUUAAGGUCUUACGACCGGCUGGUUCAUUUCCUCGAACCAUGGCCGUCCCGACGAUCCUUAUCCAGGAUCGUGGAUGUUACAGACUCAGCACGCUGACCCUUCCCGUGGACUGUUUGGGUGAUUUUGGCCUAAGUGGGCUGUCUGUUCAGUACACG